rnacentral:rRNA from 1 species
AAAACAACGACCCACGCGCACACGUUCCUCACCCCACCCUUCUCGCUCCCGAUCCCAUCUUCCCACCGGCCUCAACUUGGCGGCUAUGGCGACGGGAGACGAGGAUCAACAACUCCUCUCCUCUGCCUUCUCCACCACCGCCCGCCACACGCCUCCCCGCGUCCCUCCUUCAUCCCCGUCCCCGAUUGGGCCGCCGCCGCCACCGCACCAUCAGGGGACGCCGUGGGAGUGCAACCACCGCGCCGCCAGGGUACGCCGCGUGUACCGGCCGGCAAUGCGUGAGCCGCCACAGGUACCGCGCCGAUCGAUGCUUCUGACGAUGCGGGAGCCGCCCCAUCCGGCGAGGACGAGGUGCGCCGUCACUGCUGAUCCUCAGGGCGCAUGCUGCAUCUAAAGCCUCCCUAAUGCGCUCCUCCACUCCGCUUCUAACACGUACUUCGUACCUGGCUCCCCGCUGCCAUGCGCCGCUGAGCUCUGGAGCCGCCCCUGUCGAAGCCCAUCGCCAGCCAUCCUUGGGUGGGCCGGCGCCGAAACUCGGGUCCCAGUGGCAUCCCCGCUCGAGGUCCUUCUCCACUUCAUCUUCUGCAGAGUUCCUGAUUUCCUCACUUCUCCUGAGGUGAAGUCUAUUGAUGAUGUGCCAAUGUGAAGCAUUGGAUUGAAGUUGCGGAUCAGGAAGCAGUUUUUAUUCCAGCAGUGGAUCGAGUACUUCUAAACACAGUUAAAGAGUAAGCUACCUGCUCAACAUCUGAACGACUCUGACUGCUGAGUACAAGUCCAUCUAUAAGGAUCUAGAACACCGUAUGGAAUUCCGAAAGGUCUUUUCUUAUACUGCGAGACCCUGUUUGGAACAUGAUAAUUUCGUGAAUCAGCAACUAUAUUGUUUCCUGUGAAUUUCAGCAACUACAUUGUUUCCAGUGAAAUUCAGCAACGACUACAUUUUUCACUAUCAUCCAGGCAUAGAGAGGCUUUGAUUUAUUCCAGUAUAGUUCAGAUUUUCAGGGAGCACUCUUCAACCCAAACAUAAACAAAGCAAAGAACUUGAUUACACGGUACAACCGUAACUACCAAUGCCGAGCUAUUUUUCAAACUUGACUAACACAAAGGAUGCGAUAUGUAGGUUCAGGGUGCUCCUAU